ACGACCUUACUUGAACAGGUUCUGUUCUAUAGGCUCGUACCACUGUAUCCUUGAGUUCUAAGUAUCUGCCCUGGCCAUUGGAUCAGAGCGUGAUUAACAGCCUCCAUUGUCUUCGGGUUGUGGAGCCGAAGAUGAUAGUUCUCAGCCCCAACCUCGGUGUGCUCAUCUUUAUUCCAAGAA
rnacentral:snoRNA from 1 species